rnacentral:rRNA from 1 species
UACGCAGGGUGCGAGCGUUAAUCGGAAUUACUGGGCGUAAAGUGUGCGCAGGUGGCUUCGCAAGUCGAGUGUGAAAUCCCCGGGCUUAACCUGGGAAUUGCGCUCGAAACUACGGAGCUGGAGUAUGGCAGAGGGAGGUGGAAUUCCACGUGUAGCGGUGAAAUGCGUAGAGAUGUGGAGGAACACCAAUGGCGAAGGCAGCCUCCUGGGCCAAUACUGACACUCAUGCACGAAAGCGUGGGGAGCAAACAGG